UUGGUUGGGGGCUGGAGGGGUCG
rnacentral:snRNA from 1 species